CACAGGGCCUGAAGGCUAAGAAUGCUUCAGCAACCACCCUCAGGACUCCAGCUCAGGGAAUUUCACUACAAAUAGGCUCAGUGAGGGAUGGAGACUGCUUGCUUCAGUAUUUGAUACACCAAUGUACCACACCAAGGAACUCCCACACUCUGAAUGAACAGCCCAGUGAUCAGGAGCUUUGAAUCAAUUCUUGGCACCUAACACUUUGUGAAGAGUCUGCUAAACUCCCUCUAUCAGAAAUCCCAGAAGACUGAGAACAGGUCAUCCUUGGAGCUGUAUCUGAAUGGAGUCAGGAUCUGGAAGCCCAAGUCUCCUUGUCAAUGUCUGCUUGGUUCCCAAGGACACCUGUAAAUGGAAGAGGGGCAUAGUACACAGAAGACAUUGCUGGCAAGUGUGGUCUCUUUACGAUCGGGUGAGUCAUCUGCUGAAAUCUUUAUAAUAGACUUCUACCUUGAUGGAAUGGGUUGGACUAACGAGGAACCACCAUUACUCCAAGGCCCAGAGCAGAGCUGGGCCAUCAACUGUCUCCACACUUCCUGUCUUCUAGGUGCCACCCUGAUCCCUCAUUGCCUUUCAGCUGCAUGUCUAAAUCCCCACCCCACCCCUCAUCUAGUUGGCUUUGAUUCCAAGGACCUAGGACUGGAGUAGGGCUUUCACAAAUGAGACAGCAGGAAUGUAAUGCAACCUAAUGAGCAGACUAAGAAAGCAUCUAUACAGAAGAACAGACAUACAAAU